GAGUUUGAUCCUGGCUCAGGCAUCGAACGCUAGCGGCAGGCUUAAUACAUGCAGGUCGAGGGGCAGCACGAGGUAGCAAUACUUUGGUGGCGACCGGCAAACGGGUGCGGAACACGUACAGAACCUUCCUCUGAGCGGGGCAUAGCCCGGAGAAAUCCGGAUUAAUACCCCAUAGUAUUUUGGUGUGGCAUCACAUUAAAAUUAAAGAUUUAUCACUUAGAGAUGGCUGUGCGUAUGAUUAGGUAGUUGGCGGGGUAACGGCCCACCAAGCCUACGAUCAUUAACUGGUGUGAGAGCACGACCAGUCACACGGGCACUGAGACACGGGCCCGACUCCUACGGGAGGCAGCAGUAAGGAAUAUUGGUCAAUGGACGGAAGUCUGAACCAGCCAUGCCGCGUGAAGGAUGAAGGUCCUCUGGAUUGUAAACUUCUUUUAUGUGGGACGAAAAAAGAUCAUUCUUUGAUCACUUUGACGGUACCAUAGGAAAUAAG
rnacentral:rRNA from 1 species